CAGUAGCCGCGGGAAUACGUAGGGUGCAAGCGUUAAUCGGAAUUACUGGGCGUAAAGCGUGCGCAGGCGGUUAUAUAAGACAGAUGUGAAAUCCCCGGGCUCAACCUGGGAACUGCAUUUGUGACUGUAUAGCUAGAGUACUGCAGAGGGGGAUGGAAUUCCGCGUGUAGCAGUGAAAUGCGUAGAUAUGCGGAGGAACACCGAUGGCGAAGGCAAUCCCCUGGGCCUGUACUGACGCUCAUGCACGAAAGCGUGGGGAGCAAACAGGAUUAGAUACCCCUGUAGUCCCUGUCUCUUAUAC
rnacentral:rRNA from 1 species